rnacentral:rRNA from 1 species
AUGGAUGAAUUGACAACAGUGAGUGGCAGUCAUGGAGUACUCCCUUCCAUUCAGGAAAAUAUAGGGGCCAGCAGUAUUGCCUUUGCUGGUACAACUACAGACACGUGCUUUGUUAAUAACCCGCAGUCUCAAUUCCUUGGUCAGCCUUCAACUUGCUCUUCGCAUGAAAUAAUUGAUCUUACUGAGACGGAUGACAUGGAUGAAACUGAUGAUGUACCAAUGGAAUUAGGACCUAUAUCUGAAUUAGUUGAUCUUACUUACAUGGAUCAGAUUGAUCACGUACCAAUGUUACUACCUAGGAAGAAUGUCACUCUUGCACUUGAUCUAGAUGGCACCCUUAUCCAUUCAGCAAGGUACGACCAUGGCACGGACUUUUCAUUCUGUAUGCGCCGUGGAGAAGAAGAGUACACUGUAUACGUGAAGAAGAGACCACAUGUGGAUGUGGACGCCUUCCUUGAAGAGGCAGCUCAUAUGUUUGAGCUUGUUGUCUUUACGGCUAGCAUAUAUUCUUAUGCAAACCAACUGAUUGAUGCACUGGAUUCUUAG